GACCAGACUCCUACGGGAGGCAGCAGUGGGGAAUAUUGCACAAUGGGGGGAACCCUGAUGCAGCGACGCCGCGUGGGUGAAGGAGUAUUUCGGUAUGUAAAGCCCUAUCAGCAGGGAAGAACAAUGACGGUACCUGACUAAGAAGCACCGGCUAAAUACGUGCCAGCAGCCGCGGUAAUACGUAUGGUGCAAGCGUUAUCCGGAUUUACUGGGGGUGAAGGGGGCGCAGACGGCGAUGCAAGCCAGGAGUGAAAGGCGGGGGCCCAACCCCGGGGCUGCUCUUGGAACUGGGUGGCUGGAGUGGAGGAGGAGCAGGCGGAAUUCCUGGUGUAGCGGUGAAAUGCGUAGAUAUCAGGAGGAACACCGGUGGCGAAGGCGGCCUGCUGGAGUGCAACUGACGUUGAGGCCCGAAAGCGUGGGGAGCAAACAGGAUUAGAUCCCCUGGUA
rnacentral:rRNA from 1 species